rnacentral:rRNA from 1 species
GACGAACGCUGGCGGCGCGCUUAACACAUGCAAGUCGAACGAGAUACUCAGAGCUUGCUCUGAGUGGAAAGUGGCGAACGGGUGAGGAACACGUGAGGAACCUGCCCCGAAGACCGGGACAACAUCGGGAAACCGGUGCUAAUACCGGAUGUCCUCGCCGAAGCUCAUGCUUUGGUGAGGAAAUGGAUUCCGCUUCGGGAUGGCCUCGCGGCCUAUCAGCUUGUUGGUGAGGUAACGGCUCACCAAGGCUUCGACGGGUAGCUGGUCUGAGAGGAUGUCCAGCCACACUGGGACUGAGACACGGCCCAGACUCCUACGGGAGGCAGCAGUGGGGAAUAUUGCACAAUGGGCGCAAGCCUGAUGCAGCGACGCCGCGUGCGGGAUGACGGCCUUAGGGUUGUAAACCGCUUUCAGCAGGGACGAAAUUGACGGUACCUGCAGAAGAAGCCCCGGCCAACUACGUGCCAGCAGCCGCGGUAAUACGUAGGGGGCAAGCGUUGUCCGGAUUUAUUGGGUGUAAAGAGCUCGUAAGCGGUCUGGUAAGUCGGAUGUGAAAUCUCCACGCUUAACGUGGAGGGGUCAUUCGAAACUGCCAUGGCUAGAGUUUGGUAGGGGAGACUGGAAUUCCUGGUGUAGCGGUGGAAUGCGCAGAUAUCAGGAGGAACACCAAUGGCGAAGGCAGGUCUCUGGGCCAAUACUGACACUGAGGAGCGAAAGUGUGGGGAGCGAACAGGAUUAGAUACCCUGGUAGUCCACACAGUAAACGAUGGGCACUAGUUGUGGGAACCUUCCACGGUUUCUGCGACGCAGCUAACGCAUUAAGUGCCCCGCCUGGGGAGUACGAUCGCAAGAUUAAAACUCAGAGGAAUUGACGGGGCCCCGCACAAGCAGCGGAGCAUGCGGCUUAAUUCGACGCAACGCGAAGAACCUUACCAAGGCUUGACAUAUACAGGAAUAUGGCAGAGAUGUCAUAGCCGCAAGGUCUGUAUACAGGUGGUGCAUGGUUGUCGUCAGCUCGUGUCGUGAGAUGUUGGGUUAAGUCCCGCGACGAGCGCAACCCUCGUUCUGUGUUGCCAGCAUUUAGUUGGGGACUCACAGGAGACUGCCGGGGUCAACUCGGAGGAAGGUGGGGAUGACGUCAAAUCAUCAUGCCCCUUAUGUCUUGGGCUGCACGCAUGCUACAAUGGCUGGUACAAAGGGCUGCAAUACUGCAAAGUGGAGCGAAUCCCAAAAAGCCAGUCUCAGUUCGGAUUGGGGUCUGCAACUCGACCCCAUGGAGUCGGAGUUGCUAGUAAUCGUAGAUCAGCAACGCUACGGUGAAUACGUUCCCGGGGCUUGUACGCACCGCCCGUCACAUCACGAAAGUCGGUAACACCCGAAGUCAGUGGCCCAACCGUAAGGGGGGAGCUGCCGAAGGUGGGAUCGGUGAUUGGGAUG